GAUGAAGAACGUAGCGAAAUGCGAUAAGUGAUGUGAAUUGCAGAAUUCAGUGAAUCAUCGAAUCUUUGAACGCACAUUGCGCCCGCCAGUAUUCUGGCGGGCAUGCCUGUCCGAGCGUCAUUUCAACCCUCGAACCCCUCCGGGGGGUCGGCGUUGGGGAUCGGCCCUCCCUUAGCGGGUGGCCGUCUCCGAAAUACAGUGGCGGUCUCGCCGCAGCCUCUCCUGCGCAGUAGUUUGCACACUCGCAUCGGGAGCGCGGCGCGUCCACAGCCGUUAAACACCCAACUUCUGAAAUGUUGACCUCGGAUCAGGUAGGAAUACCCGCUGAACUUAAGCAUAUCAAUAAGCGGAGGA
rnacentral:misc_RNA from 1 species